rnacentral:rRNA from 1 species
UACAGAGGUCCCGAGCGUUGUUCGGAUUCACUGGGCGUAAAGGGUGCGUAGGUGGUGAGGUAAGUCGGAUGUGAAAUCUCCAAGCUCAACUUGGAAAUGGCAUUGGAAACUACCUUGCUGGAGGUUUGGAGGGGGGACUGGAAUUCUCGGUGUAGCAGUGAAAUUCGUAGAUAUUCGGAAGAACACCAGUGGCGAAGGCGAACUGACUGGACAAGUAUUGACGCUGAGGUGCGAAAGCGUGGGGAGCAAACAGG